GACGAACGCUGGCGGCGUGCUUAACACAUGCAAGUCGAACGGAAAGGCCCUGCUUUUGCGGGGUGCUCGAGUGGCGAACGGGUGAGUAACACGUGAGUAACCUGCCCUUGACUUUGGGAUAACUUCAGGAAACUGGGGCUAAUACCGGAUAGGAGCUCCUGCUGCAUGGUGGGGGUUGGAAAGUUUCGGCUGUUGGGGAUGGAAUCGCGGCUUAUCAGCUUGUUGGUGGGGUAGUGGCUUACCAAGGCUUUGACGGGUAGCCGGCCUGAGAGGGUGACCGGCCACAUUGGGACUGAGAUACGGCCCAGACUCCUACGGGAGGCAGCAGUGGGGAAUAUUGCACAAUGGGCGGAAGCCUGAUGCAGCAACGCCGCGUGCGGGAUGACGGCCUUCGGGUUGUAAACCGCUUUCGCCUGUGACGAAGCGUGAGUGACGGUAAUGGGUAAAGAAGCACCGGCUAACUACGUG
rnacentral:rRNA from 1 species